rnacentral:rRNA from 1 species
GUGGGGAAUCUUGCGCAAUGGGCGAAAGCCUGACGCAGCCAUGCCGCGUGAAUGAUGAAGGUCUUAGGAUUGUAAUAUUCUUUCACCGGGGACGAUAAUGACGGUAGCCGGAGAAGAAGCUCCGGCUAACUUCGUGCCAGCAGCCGCGGUAAUACGAAGGGGGCUAGCGUUGCUCGGAAUUACUGGGCGUAAAGGGCGCGUAGGCGGACAGCUUAGUCAGAGGUGAAAGCCCAGGGCUCAACCUUGGAAUUGCCUUUGAUACUGGCUGUCUUGAGUUUGGGAGAGGUGAGUGGAACUCCGAGUGUAGAGGUGAAAUUCGUAGAUAUUCGGAAGAACACCAGUGGCGAAGGCGACUCACUGGCCCAAUACUGACGCUGAGGCGCGAAAGCGUGGGGAGCAAACAGGAUUAGAUACCCGUGUAGUCC